rnacentral:lncRNA from 1 species
GGAUCAACAAAGUCAUCAUAAUUUAAAUUACAAAAAGCACAUGAUGCAAUCGCAUGCGAGCAAGGAAUUCAAAAUGCUAUAAAUUCUCCACAAUCACAUGACCAUUCGUUCAAUUUGACAGUGCAUGCCAUUGCUCGUCGACUAAGCCGCAUAUUUGCAAUUUCUUGUACCUCAAACUCCCGUGUUUCUUAAACAUGCAUGCGAACAUAAUGCGAGGUAGCAAUGUGUUGAUUUUCUUGCAUCAUUACAUAUACGUCUUCAGAGUUCCUAUGUCCUGCCUUUAUCAUAUUCAUGAUUUUCAUGCCAUUAUUAACAAAUGAAUCAUUUAUUUUAUUAAAUGUUUCAUUGAUUAAGAUAGUAAUAGGUAAUGCUCGGGCUCCUUUCAAAACAGAAUUCAUACAUUCGGCAAGGUUGGUAGUCAUACGGUCAUACUGUUUCCUUCAUCGUAGGCCUGAGUCCAUUUACUCUUGGGAAUCUGGUCCAACCAAUCUGCUGCUUGUGGAAACUCUACUCGCAUUGCGAGCAACUUUGCCUCAAAUCAUGGUUUCCUCAUCUCAUAUCUUAUGGCAAAAGAUAAAAUAAUGAGUAAUAAAUAUGGUAAAGAUGUAAUAAAACAAGAAUUUGAUGCAUGAAAUGGUUAGAAGCAUACUCAUAUUGAUGUCUUGUGUUUUUAAGUCAACAUUUUUAAACUGUUUGUUGAAAUU